UGGCGAACGGGUGAGGAACGCGUGGACAACCUACCCCGGCGUGGGGGAUACCCGCCAGAAAUGGCGGCUAAUACCGCGUACGGUUCCCCGGCGGAGGGCUGGGGAAAGAAAGCAGCGAUGCGCGCUGGGAGGGGUCUGCGGCCGAUUAGCUUGUUGGCGGGGUAACGGCCCACCAAGGCGAUGAUCGGUAGCUGGUCUGAGAGGAUGAUCAGCCACACGGGGACUGAGACACGGCCCCG
rnacentral:rRNA from 1 species